AAGAAACUGAAGUGAAGCUGAAAGAAUUAGUGAACUCGAAGGUUGGCUGCUGCUCUGUUCCAUGUCACCUUCAGGCCAGCACCCGAGCUGAUGGAGCAUCCAGAAUAUUGCUGGUUGUUCCAACAUAAGGCUGAGGAAGAGGAGGAGGAAGAGGAAGGGUUGAUCUUGCU